AUAUUUUAAAUUGAAAUAAAUGUGAGCAUGCGCACAAAAAGGACACUGCUAUGAUCGGCACGCGAUAAUAUGAGAAGUUCGAACCACGUUCUAUUUCCGGGCAUGUUGUUGGCUCAUUGUAUCAUUGUAAUUAAGUUGGGACAGAAAAUAAAAAGAGAAAGAAGAGAGCGGGAAAUUGAGUGUCUUAUCUCUUAAAAUGGCUGAAGGCGAUUAUAGAAGACCACAAGCGGUUGAAAGUCAUGAAGAAGAUCUGCUAACAGUAAUAGUAACACUUAAUAUAAAAGAUCUGAAAGUUCGGUCAGUACAUGUAUUUAAAAAGGAUGUAAAGGAACCAGAAAAUGCUGUAGUUCAACAUUCAUUUAGCGAAAGAGGUUUUCAAGUUACGUGUGAUGUACAGAAUAAAGAUAAAACGGUGACAAAAUAUAAACAAGUUAUUCGACGAUUACCAGGUCUGAUUGAUCCAGAUAAUUGUGAUAUUAAGUUUGAAACAGAAAAAAUAAUUUUAAUUCUGCGUAAAAAAGAAGAAUGUUCCUGGGAAGUUCAGCUAAGUAAAAAUAUGUUGGAACAAGAUAUUGAGGAGGAUUGAAGUCACAACUAAAUUUCCUGGAAAUUGUACAAGCUGCUUCCAUAUCAUGAAAUUAUUAAGCACUAAGAAUCAGACCACUCUCUUUACAUAGAGCUUCAAGGCACAAUGGGAGUAGUAAUAUUUAUACUAUAUUAUACGAAACAUGGUUUAUAAAGCUGGCACGAUAUAUUGUUGAAUCAAUGUAUGGCGAUUCACCUUCUCACGAUUCACAUAUUGAAUCACAAGACCCUGAAUCGAUGUAUUGCGAUUCACUUUCUCAGGAUUCACGUAUAUUUUUUUAUGUCACUUCAGUAAGUAAUCUGUCACUCUUAAUUAUCCACGUCACUCUUAAAUUGUUUUGGUCCUUAUUUUGAUCCACAUCAAUAUUGUGAUAUAAAACAGUUUUAUUUCAUCGAAAUUGGCAGGACUAAAAAUAUCAUUUAUUCAUUUAUCUUGUUGUUUUCUUGGUAAAUAUUGACCUGGUUAUGAAUAGUGAUAUGAAUCAUGUCGUAGCACUUGAAUCACAAUAUGUAUUGUAUCGUGACUGCACUAGUCUUUUACUAACAAGCAAGCUAAAAAUUACUUGCAAUAUAAAAUCGUGCAAUAGCUUUGUUGAACUAUGUGAUAAUAUCACCUUGUAAGCUUUACUAUUGUACAGUUAAGAUCAAAGGAGUACUUUAAACUAUUUGGGGGGGAGAUGGCCGAAUGGUUGGCACGUGCGCUAUAUCAUAAGGCCUUUCAUUGAGUCAACUGGCACGGUUUCGAAUCCCCGGUUGUAUGUGGGUUUUCUCCGAGUCCUCAGGUUUUCUCCCACUGCUAAAGACCCCUAAGCGCAAGCAAAUUAUUGAAAUACAAUUUAACCAUAUGUUAGUCCCGAAAUGACCUAGUUUGUGUCUAGUGGAUGUUAAACCCCAUCUCUCUCUCUCUCUCUCUCGCUCUUAACUUUUUGAAAGAGACAGCCCAUUUUCUGAUUGGAACUUGUAAUUAAUCAUGUGUGGAACAUUCUUUAGAAACCUGUGACCUUGUCCUGUACAUCCAAAACUCCAUGCUAUUUUUACAGAAAUAAAAAUAUUAGUUUCUAUGUGACAGUAUGCCCCACUGUGUUACUUAUACUCCCCUCUUCAACACAUACUUCAAAUCCAGGGAUAUGACCUAUCUGGGUGUGGUAAGAAAAUCAAGUUUAAAUAGUAAUGAUUUCUACAGUAAAAUACAGCAACAAUUUCUGCCCGAAAAUGUGCCGGUCAAAUUUAUAUAAAAAUCUAUAUUGAUACUUUAUAAUUAUAAGCAUUUAAGGUGGAAUAUAACCAUAUUUUUGUAAGCGUUUGUUAUCCAGUUAUGUUCAAUGUUAUUGAAUAGAAUAAAAAAAAAAACAGCUUCUACAAAAAAUGCUCACAGAUUGCAUAAUAUUUUAGUUAUAUCCUAGUGAAGAAGUCAUAUAUUUCAGUACGUGUAAGUGUUAAUUUUAUAGAGAAUACAUGUAUAUGGAGUCCAUUUUGAGGCUUUUAAUCUGGCAUUUGUGGGGGUAAAGUUGUAAGGACUGAGCAUUUUCUUUUCUGUCCAUUUUCAUAUUUUUGAAAGGGUGAGACAUUGGCCUUUAUAGAAUGUUUUUUCUGAUUCAUCAUUUUAUCAACCAUUAUGUUACAAGAACAUUGUUUAUUUUACAUGCUGUUCUUCCUUAGAUCUGUAAAUGUGUAUUUUUUUGUCAUUUUGAGAACUAUAAACAUUUAUACAUCUAAAA